rnacentral:rRNA from 1 species
GGGCGAGCGUUAUCCGGAUUUAUUGGGCGUAAAGCGUGUGUAGGCGGUUUGUUAAGUCUGAGAUAAAAGCCCGAGGCUCAACCUUGGUUCGUUUCAGAAACUGGCAGACUUGAGUGUGGUAGAGGCAAGUGGAAUUUCUAGUGUAGCGGUUAAAUGCGUAGAUAUUAGAAGGAACACCAGUGGCGAAGGCGGCUUGCUGGGCCAUUACUGACGCUGAGACACGAAAGCGUGGGGAGCAAAUA